UCUAUGUCAUUUUUGUGAAUCUUAAUCAACAGAAUAAACCCUUUCACAAAUGAAAUCUUUAAUGUUCUGAUAGCUUACUACCUUAUGCAGAUUCUUGAUUUCCUCAUUGGGAAGCUUGCACAGAACACAAACUACAACAACUAAUGGAAACUGGAGAGGAAAUUCAUAACCAUAGCAAGUACAGCCAUGGACUAGAUGAGCGAUGUGCAGAAGACAGGGCCAUCGAUGAUUGGCUUCCGAUAAAUCAUUCAAGAAGGGGAAGAUGGUGGUUUUCAACAGUUCACAAUGUCACUGCCAUUGUUGGAGCUGGAGUCCUCCGCCUCCCUUACAACAUGACAUGAUAGAAGCUGUGCUAGUGAAGAAACUCAAGUUCGAGCCUAAUAAACGUUUGCGGAUUAUUUCAAGGACUUCGUACGUUGCUUUUACAAUGUUUGUGGGAAUUACUCUGCCUUUGUUUGAUGGGCUGCUUGGGUUUCUUGGAGGCUUUGGAUUUGCACCAAACACAUACUCCCUUUGUAAGAAAUUAUUUAUGUACUUUUUAUAUCAAUAUAAAUUUUGUUUUAUUUGUAUAUAAAUUUUGUAUUUUAAUAAAAUUAGAAUUUUCGGUUACUUGCAUAUAAAAUAUUUUAAGAAACAUAAAU